CCGCAGUCCUUAAAACCCCCCGUGAGCUGCUGCUGUAGCUUCUGGGACAAGAAGGAAUGCAAGAGAAAACCAAGAACUUUCCAAAGCUACAUGUCUUCACAGUGACUAUGAGCUAUUUCACCUCUUGGACAUUG
ensembl:snoRNA